rnacentral:tRNA from 1 species
GUCUUCGUAGUAUACUCAAUACGCUGGUCUUGUAAACCAGAAAAGGAAAGCAACCAACCUCCCUAAGACU